AAAUUGAAAUCAAAUUCUUUAAACUGCCUCUACAAACCUUCUCUAAUUCAAUAAUCAUGAUGGCUUGAAUAAGCAUUGAGGCGGUUUAAACUGCCUCUAAAUCAAGUGUUGGGGCAGUUUAAAACGCUGUUAUAAACCUCUCCUAUACGAUGAGCUACCUAGCGCACGACGAAAUCGCCUCUAUGUCAUAGAGAUGUAGGUUACGGAGGUGGUCAUGAGACAGUUUUGUGAACUGCCUCAGGCAAAUAUAGGGGCGGUGCUUGAGAAAAAUAGUAGUUAAUAGUGGAAUUAAGGG
rnacentral:misc_RNA from 1 species